UACGUAGGGUGCAAGCGUUGUCCGGAAUUAUUGGGCGUAAAGAGCUCGUAGGCGGUCUGUCACGUCGGCUGUGAAAACCCGAGGCUUAACCUCGGGCCUGCAGUCGAUACGGGCAAACUAGAGUACUGCAGGGGAGACUGGAAUUCCUGGUGUAGCGGUGAAAUGCGCAGAUAUCAGGAGGAACACCGGUGGCGAAGGCGGGUCUCUGGGCAGUAACUGACGCUGAGGAGCGAAAGCGUGGGGAGCGAACAGG
rnacentral:rRNA from 1 species